GGCCCGUUGGUCAAGCGGUUAAGACACCGCCCUUUCACGGCGGCAACACGGGUUCGAAUCCCGUACGGGUCA
rnacentral:tRNA from 1 species